GUAGAUGGGGUGUCUAAAUUAUAAUCCAUAGAAUUUUUUGAUAAUUUGCCAAAAUGUAGUUUAUAUCGUGCUUUUCAAAAAAUAAUAAUAAAAAGAAUGGGUCACCGGGCUUAUUUUCACGCUACACGGUGUUCAAAAUUGACAAAUUUUGUAUAGAUUAUGCAUGGAAAACCCAAUUUUCUGCAAUAAAGCAUAAUCUACACCAUAGAAUUUUGAGAUAACAUAUGAGAAGAUGGCUUUAAUGGUAUGCUUUCAGUUAAGAAAAAGAAACAAUGGGGUCACCGGACCUGUUUUCUUGCUACAUUUUAAAAUAGGUAAAUUCCUAACACAAUCCAGUGUAAAAGUACCUUAAUCUGAAUUAUCUGCCCUUGCAUUUGAGUUGCCUCCCCUUAUUUGGUAAAGUUGGAAAAAAAAUUAUCAAACAAAAGUUUUCUGUUUUUUGUAAAAUACAACCAUAAAUAUGAUAAAACAUGUCAUUUUCUAUAUCGAAGUGGAAGUUCUUACACAUGAGUUACCUACUACUCUAAAUAUUUGCACAUUCUAUUCAAGAUCUAGACCUUGUUUUCUGGUAUUUUCAAAUCCAAGAUGGAGGAAGACACCC
rnacentral:lncRNA from 1 species